UACAGAGGGGGCAAGCGUUGUUCGGAAUUACUGGGCGUAAAGCGUGCGCAGGCGGUUGUGCAAGACAGAUGUGAAAUCCCCGGGCUCAACCUGGGAAUUGCAUUUGUGACUGCACGGCUAGAGUGUGUCAGAGGGGGGUAGAAUUCCACGUGUGAGCAGUGAAAUGCGUAGAGAUGAUGGAGGAAUACCGAUGGCGAAGGCAGCCCCCUGGGAUAACACUGACGCCUCAUGCACGAAAGCGUGGGGAGCAAACAGG
rnacentral:rRNA from 1 species